GAUGAACGCUAGCUACAGGCCUAACACAUGCAAGUCGAGGGACCGGCGCACGGGUGAGUAACACGUAUCCAACCUGCACUGUACUCGGUGAUAGCCUUUCGAAAGAAAGAUUAAUACCCGAUAUAAUGGAUGGGGAUGCGUUCGAUUAGGUUGUUGGUGAGGUAACGGCUAACCAAGCCUUCGCUGGAUAGGGGUUCUGAGAGGAAGGUCCCCCACAAUGUAACUGAGACACGGUCCAAACUGGUACGGGGGGCAGCAGUGAUGAAGAUUGGUGGAGGGGCGCUAGCCUGAACCAGCCACGUGGCGUGAAGGAUGAUGGCUUUUGGGUCGUAUACUUCUUGUAUAUAAGAAUCGGUAUUAUAUGAAUAAGCAUCGGCUAACUCCGUGCCAGCAGCCGCGGUAAUUC
rnacentral:rRNA from 1 species